rnacentral:rRNA from 1 species
UGGGGAAUAUUGGGCAAUGGGCGCAAGCCUGACCCAGCAACGCCGCGUGAAGGAUGAAGGUCUUCGGAUCGUAAACUUUUGUCUUUGGAGAAGAAUUUUUGACGGUAUCCAAGGAGGAAGCCACGGCUAACUACGUGCCAGCAGCCGCGGUAAUACGUAGGUGGCAAGCGUUAUCCGGAUUUACUGGGUGUAAAGGGCGUGUAGGCGGGCUAUUAAGUCUGAUGUGAAAUACCGAGGCUCAACCUCGGGGCUGCAUUGGAAACUGAUAGUCUUGAGUGCAGGAGAGGGAAGCGGAAUUCCUAGUGUAGCGGUGAAAUGCGUAGAUAUUAGGAGGAACACCAGUGGCGAAGGCGGCUUUCUGGACUGUAACUGACGCUGAGACGCGAAAGCGUGGGGAGCAAACA